rnacentral:rRNA from 1 species
UACGUAUGGUGCAAGCGUUAAUCGGAAUUACUGGGCGUAAAGCGUGCGCAGGCGGUUAUGCAAGACAGAAGUGAAAUCCCCGGGCUCAACCUGGGAACUGCAUUUGUGACUGCAUAGCUGGAGUACGGUAGAGGGGGAUGGAAUUCCGCGUGUAGCAGUGAAAUGCGUAGAUAUGCGGAGGAACACCGAUGGCGAAGGCAAUCCCCUGGACCUGUACUGACGCUCAUGCACGAAAGCGUGGGGAGCAAACAGG